AUGCUCUCUCUGUAUCAAAGAAGAAAAGAAAAAGAAAAGAAAAGAAAAGAAAAGGGAAGAAAAGAAAAGAAAGAAAAGAAAAAAAGUGGAGGGAUAAACAAGCGAAGCAAUUUUCCAAGUUCACACAGCUAUUAAUGGACAGAGGCUCUGUAUACACGGUAGCCAACCCAUGUGAGAAAACAGCAACUGUGCUUCUGGAACUGACCUAGAGCAGCCACUGCUAGAAGGAAAAUCAACAAUCUCUCCCUAUUUCAAAGAAAAAGUCAAUAAAAAUGUUCUUGGUGUUGA